GAUGAACGCUGGCGGCGUGCCUAAUACAUGCAAGUCGAGCGAACAGACGAGGAGCUUGCUCCUCUGACGUUAGCGGCGGACGGGUGAGUAACACGUGGAUAACCUACCUAUAAGACUGGGAUAACUUCGUGAAACCGGAGCUAAUACCGGAUAAUAUAUUGAACCGCAUGGUUCAAUAGUGAAAGACGGUUUUGCUGUCAGUGAAAGAUGGAUCCGCGCCGCAUAAGCUAGUUGGUAAGGUAAGGGCUUACCAAGGCGACGAUGCGUAGCCGACCUGAGAGGGUGAUCGGCCACACUGGAACUGAGACACGGUCCAGACUCCUACGGGAGGCAGCAGUAGGGAAUCUUCCGCAAUGGGCGAAAGCCGGACGGAGCAAAGCCGCGUGAGUGAUGAAGGUCUUCGGAUCGUAAAACUCUGUUAUUAGGGAGGAACAAAAGUGUAAGUAACUAUGCACGUCUUGACGGUACCUAAUCAGAAAGCCACGGCUAACUACGUG
rnacentral:rRNA from 1 species